UACAGAGGUCGCGAGCGUUGUUCGGAUUCAUUGGGCGUAAAGGGUGCGUAGGCGGCGGGGCAAGUCUGAUGUGAAAUCCUGGGGCUCAACCCUGGAACUGCAUUGGAUACUGCCUUGCUAGAGUACUGGAGAGGAAACUGGAAUUUACGGUGUAGCAGUGAAAUGCGUAGAGAUCGUAAGGAAGACCAGUGGCGAAGGCGACAUACUGGCUCAUUACUGACGCUGAGGCUCGAAAGCGUGGGGAGCAAACAGG
rnacentral:rRNA from 1 species